GUUUUACACCAGAAUAACUUCAAGGAGUCUUUGUUUGGGACCACGAACAGGCAUCUGUGCAGCACGUCCAUUUUCUGAGAUUCUCUCACUAAUCAGAGUCGUUGCGCGGAUGCCUCGACAGAGGCCGAGAAGAAACAGCUGCCUCGCAUGAACUUACACUCGACGACUCACCAGCCGCCACUGCCUGUGCCAUCGGCUGCUCUGCUCAGUCAGUGGAAUCAGUCUGUUCGGUUGGUCUCUCCCCUCCACUGAGCUUUCAGAGGACUCCUGGCACUGGGAGACCAACAGGAGGCAUGGCUACAUCCCAAGAGGAAAUGCAGUCCCCUUGUUUCCUUGUCUCCUGAUCUGAAAGGACUUGGUAGAGAAGAGGAAUGGAUGGUGUGAAAGAGAAAGAAAAGAAUGGCAGGGUUUUCAAUUUCUAUGUUGUGCACAAAAUUCAGUCUUUUGCCUGAGUGCAUGUUUGCAAAGAAAAGGAGACAAGGAAAGGAAGUGAUCUAAGAGUUUUGGGAUGAAACAGCCUGAAUGUUAGGCCUAAUCUCCACCCUCAGAAGGGCUAGUUAAGAGCCUCCACCCAGAGCCUAUAAGUGCUCUCAAGUCUCGCCAGCAUUCAUUUCAAUCAAGCCUAAUUCAAUCACACGUCUAUUAUGCAACCAACAUUUACAGCACUUCAAGACUGGCGUUUCAAAACUCUGAUUUUAAAGGGCACUUGAUUCAGGUCGCCCGGUGUGCGACGUGGGCGGGAUAUACGCUUAAGGGAAAAUGGAAUGGCUCCAAAAAUGCACACCAGGCGAGCUAAAUCCCAUAUUGAGAAAGCAUCAUUGUGGCAACCAGAUUGUCCUGGCGUGACGGGGACGUAGCAAUUGCGGGGGAAAAAUCUCUAAUAGUCAGUGAUGAGACUAAACUCUCCACUACUGUUACUGUAUAAAACAAGAUCAUGAGGCGACCAUAAAACACACUACAACCUUAUUCUAAAUCUGUUCAGUUUAACCUAUCUCUCCUACACUGUCCCCAGGAAACUGUCUGACAAUAUUAGUAUCAGUAUCUGCUACAAGAUGAAAGAUAGUGCAGCUCUCGAUUUAAUGCUCUUUGACAGUGUCUUUUGGUAACCUUAUUGCAGAAGAUGAGAGUAACUGUCAAAUGGGAUGAGUGGAUCCCCUUAGGCUAAUGGAAUAGAAGUCAAAGCCCUUCUGUGUUGGGUCUUUUGAGUACGGUGAGCAGGGUAGUAGUCCUAAAGGGUAUUACCUCACAGUUCAGACUGAGGCACAACUCUAUGGAGAGGCUGUUCUCCAGUUGUGAGAUCUAGAACCAUGUGUCGUACCUCUUUGAUUCCAGACGUCCAUUUAACCCUGAAAAAUCAGCCCUGUGCAAGAGACGUAUUCAAAUGUUCCCGAAUGUUGCAGAUGAAAAUAUUGUGAAUUGAGUUGACCCAAUGUCCUACAUUACAACAUGAAAGCAUUAUAUGUACUACAGAAUACAUACAGUGUCUCACUGAACAUUCUGUAAUGUUACACCCUGCUGUAGGGCCAUGAUACUAAUUUAACCCUGAACAUCGGAUGGAUACUAUCUACUGUAGAUACACACUUCUUUAUACCACCUAAUACCAGACACCCAGUUAUCCCCAUAAUUAGCUUCACUAAGUCACUCAGGUCAUUCAUUUCUCUAAGAGAUAUAUUAACAGAACUGAAUACAACUUUAUUGUCCAACAGGAGAUAGACAGGAUAUAUUGGCCUAUGGGCUUCAUCUUAGAAAGGUGCCCCCAUCAAGGUGACCUGAUUGUGUGGAGACCUCAUGAGGCGAGGGCAAGCAGCCAACCACAACGGAGUGAAAGACAGAAGGAGGGCACAGAGUUCACCUGAAGGGGUUUGGUUGAGGUGGGCAGUGUGCCAAUGGUAGAAGGAGGUGCUAUUUUGGUGGUUGAAUAUAGAGGGGAGUUCGUCUAAUAUAUUCUUUUGUUUUAUGGGGUGAACCAAGCGGUUCUUCUGAUAAUAUGUAAAGCAGUGGUCCAUAGGAAGUAUUAAUUUGAGUGCAAAUUGCUUUGACUUUAUACUAUUGGGAAAUAGACAGGCAGUUCUCUCUUGUAAAAUUGAUUCAGAGACAUUCCCUGGUUAAAUCAAUCUCAUUUCACUUGGACCUGGACAAAAUUGUGUUUGAAAAUGAUAUAGAUGAAAGUACAUUUUAAGUCAUGCUUUGAAAUGUUUAAAUCUUCUGGUCAAUUUAAAUAAAAACCGACACUCUUUACCCUGAA